CCCAAAUCCCAGUAGUUGAUUAUGUGGAAACGUAUACCCUGUAGUGGAUGCGAUAAUCUUUAGAUGUUUAAGAGGCCUCGCAAUCUCAGAAUGACUUCAAAUAAAACUUAUGGAUGUCGUCACUAUAUACAUGUACGAGACAAUUACAAAUGACAUCUGCAUGAAAUCCCCGAAGGAUUAAAAAUGCUCAAAUCAUUAUUUAACAAUAACCCCAUAUGUGUUAUAUAAAUCUUAAAGGGACUGGUCCUAUGUGGUAUAAUUGACUUGGUUGAUACUUUGAAAAGAGGGGGUAUAAGUUUGAUAAAAUGAGCUAUAUAUACUUAUCAAUAUUUCACUCUUAGUGUUCAGUGUAAUUGGAGUUUACAGUGAUGUCUGAUGUCGUAAACACUAUCGAAAGGAACUGUCAAACUAUAAAGUUAAAAUUCUGAAAAGAUCUUUAUACAGUGUAGUUAUUCUCGACCCACAGUUCUAGUAUAUC
rnacentral:lncRNA from 1 species